rnacentral:rRNA from 1 species
UGGCGAACGGGUGAGUAACGCGUGAGGAACCUGCCUCAAAGAGGGGGACAACAGUUGGAAACGACUGCUAAUACCGCAUAAGCCCACGGCUCGGCAUCGAGCAGAGGGAAAAGGAACAAUCCGCUUUGAGAUGGCCCCGCGUCCGAUUAGCUAGUUGGUGAGGUAACGGCCCACCAAGGCGACGAUCGGUAGCCGGACUGAGAGGUUGAACGGCCACAUUGGGACUGAGACACGGCCCAG